rnacentral:lncRNA from 1 species
UUCCAAACGUGAUCUGAUUAUUGGGCUAUUGACCUCAUGAAAAUGGCGUCUGUCUAUCUUCAUUUUACUUUUUACACUUGACAUGCACUUUAAAGUCAGCGUGGAUAGGGCUUUCUGGAGACUGCUGUCCAGAUUAACUAUACAACUGCAAAUGUUCUGUAGCUCACUGUGACGUUUUUGAAUAGCAUAAGAGGAGUCAUCGAUACGCAUAUAAACAACAAUUAUUUGGGAGUCAGUCAGUCCAUUUCACAAGUGACGUUUUUCUUUUAAUAAUGGGUUCGAUGAAGAAGAUGUAGCAUGAUCGCGUUGAAUAAGGUGUUACCAUGGCUACUAUGGACACGCUGCUGCCUUUUCCUUGACAAUAACCCAGGUCGUGAUGUCCCACACCCGGUGCAUCGUGACGGUCUGGAGACAGAGCGCAACCACCAUCUGGGUAAGCACCUUCGUCUCUCUCACACACACACACACACACACACACACACACACACACACACACACACACACACGCACACGCACA